rnacentral:rRNA from 1 species
UUGCAGUUAAAAAGCUCGUAGUUGGAUUUCUGCGGGGGCGGGGCGGCCGGUUGCUUAUAGCAACUCGAGCUAGCACUUCCCCUGCAUCCUGCCGCGAACCGUGCUACCAUUAGUUUGGUGGCGCUGGGGAUCGGCUCGUUUACUUUGAGAAAAAUAGAGUGUUCAAAGCAGGCCACACGCCUUGAAUAAGUUAGCAUGGAAUAAUGAUAAAGGACUUCGGUUCUAUUUUGUUGGUGUUCGGGACUGAAGUAAUGAUUGAUAGGGACAGUUGGGGCGGUCAGUAUUCCAAAGCGAGAGGUGAAAUUCUUAGACCUUCGGAAGACUAACAGCUGCGAAAGCGUUCCGCAAGGAUGUUCCCUUUGAUCAAGAACGAAAGUUGGGGGAUCGAAGACGAUCAGAUACCGUCGUAGUCUCAACUAUAAACUAUACCAGCUAGGGAUCGGCCGACGUUUACUUACAUCGACUCGGUCGGCACCUUAUGAGAAAUCAAAGCAUCUGGGUUCCGGGGGGAGUAUGGUCGCAAGGCUGAAACUUAAAGGAAUUGACGGAAGGGCACCACCAGCCGUGGAGCCUGCGGCUCAAUUUGACUCAACACGGGAAAACUUACCAUGUCCAGACAUAGUAAGGAUUGACAGAUUGAUAGCUCU